AAGAGUGGGCAGCUGUAAAUCACAGGGGUGUAGGUCUUCGGCGCUGCAGCCCUGUGGUGGCUGUUCUGCACCACGGACGUGCCGCUUUCGGAAAAUCGCGACACCACCUUCCGACGCACCCAGCUCCCUAAAUCCCCCACGCCAUUAGGCAGCGCGUUCGCUCGUUUCCUCACCCUUCAUUUUCCUCCCGUUUCCAGCCAGCGCAGCAGGUCUUGAGUGUACAGGCAACCUGCGAGGACCAAGGCACCUGCUGAACCCCACAGGAUCCCACUUCACAAAACAACAACGGGAGAAGAUAAGCACCUGAAGCCGAGCAGAGCCAUAGCUCAAGACAGUGAUGCAAAAAUGAUGCAGCUGACAUGCCGUGAGAUCUGAUGGAAGGAAUGUGCUCGGUGGGGACAUCUGCACCCAAACAGGGGCGAGAGGGGGCGGAAGGUACACGUAUAAUGUGACGGAGCUGACCAGACAGCCCGGACAACAGAGCAGCGCGAGCAGAGUCUGUCCAUCUCGGCUUUCGGUGUCAGCCUGUCUCUACCUUCAUCGUGUCAGCUCCGCGGGGCUGACAUUACCCAGCAAACCUGCACUGAUUCACUCCUGGAUCCUGGCAGGGGACCUGACAGGUAUGGUAUGAUCCGCGUAGACUGGGUGAAGUCAUCAUCAAGUCUUGUAGGACAGUGGUGCCAGGGACAGCAGAUAUCCACAUUGUGAGGGCUCCUCACUGUCAGUUUAACAGGAGUGCGGUACUGAUGUUUUUCCAAAGACGGGAUCACUAUACAUCUAUGCAUACUGCUAUAAAACUAUGCAUUCUGUAUUUGUAGUGAUAUGCUGUAUACAUUCACAAAAGCAUCCAUACACAUUAGACAAUGCAGUGAAAAAAGAAUAAAUAAAUAAAUAAAUAAACAAAUAAAUAAAUAAAUAAAUAAAUAAAUAAAUGGGGCAAUGCUGUGAAUAUGGAAUAUGGACUUGGCUACUUAAAUGUUGUUUAGGCAUACGCAUGUUGACUGAGAAGUACAUUUUCAAUAGAGAUUUAACCAUGAAGUGAAGAAAAUGCAUUAAUGAGUGAAACAAAACAUGGAUUUUGUUUCCUAGUGAAGGAUGAUGGCAGUAAAAAUGUCCAAAGUACUGAAUAAAAUGCACAACAGAAACAGAAGAAAAGCUUAAAAAAGUAGGAAAGUACGUCAUUCAUACUUGUUCCCAGUUCCUCGUGUAUAAUAUAUUAUUCUCUAUAUCUUUUUAAUAAUUAAAAUAUAUAAUUAUU